UACGGAGGGGGCUAGCGUUGUUCGGAAUUACUGGGCGUAAAGCGCACGUAGGCGGCUUUGUAAGUUAGAGGUGAAAGCCCGGAGCUCAACUCCGGAACUGCCUUUAAGACUGCAUCGCUAGAAUUGUGGAGAGGUGAGUGGAAUUCCGAGUGUAGAGGUGAAAUUCGUAGAUAUUCGCAAGAACACCAGUGGCGAAGGCGGCUCACUGGCCCGAUACUGACGCUGAGGUGCGAAAGCGUGGGGAGCAAACAGG
rnacentral:rRNA from 1 species